rnacentral:rRNA from 1 species
CGUGAACGCUGGCGGUAGGCCUAACACAUGCAAGUCGAACGGCAGCACAGUAAGAGCUUGCUCUUACGGGUGGCGAGUGGCGGACGGGUGAGGAAUACAUCGGAAUCUACUUUUUCGUGGGGGCUAACGUAGGGACACUUACGCUAAUACCGCAUACGACCUACGGGUGAAAGCAGGGGAUCUUCGGACCUUGCGCGAUUGAAUGUGCCGAUGUCGGAUUAGACAGUUGGCGGGGUAAAGGCCCACCAAGGCGACGAUCCGUAGCUGGUCUGAGAGGAUGAUCAGCCACACUGGAACUGAGACACGGGCCAGACUCCUACGGGAGGCAGCAGUGGGGAAUAUUGGACAAUGGGCGCAAGCCUGAUCCAGCCAUACCGCGUGGGUGAAGAAGGCCUUCGGGUUGUAAAGCCCUUUUGUUGGGAAAGAAAAGCAGCAGGUUAAUACCCCGCUGUUCUGACGGUACCCAAAGAAUAAGCACCGGCUAACUUCGUG